AGAAGAUGAACGGGGCUAAGCGAUCUGCCGAAGCUGUGGGAUUUCAUAAUGCAUCGGUAGGGGAGCGUUCCGCCUUAGAGGGAAGCAACCACGAAAGCGGGGGUCGACGAAGCGGAAGCGAGAAUGUCGGCUUGAGUAACAAAAACAUUGGUGAGAAUCCAAUGCCCC